AGCGUCCCCGCACAGGGCUGCCUCAGAGCGACUUUGAGGACUGACUGAGGUGAGGACGUGACGUCCUCUGUAAGCUGUCGAGUGUUACGCGGUAGCUGUUCUUCGUGCCUUGAGCCCUGGCCACGUCACAUGGUCCCCGACGACGAGCUGGCCAACCACGUGGGGGGUUGUUAACCUGCCCGGAGCCGUUCGUCCCACCGGCUACCCAGGCGGUGACUCCUGAGGGCUCGGUGUGUGGUCUCAGGAGGAACUCGCUUCUGGCGCGCUCAGGCUGGGAGCGGGGAAAGGCCGCCCCCAUCAGGGCCGCGGCAGUGCGGCUGGGCUGUGAAGGGAGCCCCGCUGCAGGCCGAGGGCGGGAGCGGAGAAGUAUCAUGCCAGCCGUGUGAUGAAAAAUUCCUUAGAAGUCACAUCAAAGAAUGCAGAAAGAAAGAGUCUGGUGGAUCUUAUAUUUCUGCAGCACGUUUCAGUUCAGACCUGCUGCAUUUCCAGUGCUUAGUAGGGACCUGUGGCUCCCAGCUACUGCACAGGGGGUCUAUGUGUUCUGCUGCUGAAGGAUGAGCAUUGAGAUCACCAGCUAGAAUUGGAAAAGACUUCUCCUCACUUCUGUGAGUUUUUGUUUCACAUAUUUUGAAGUUCUUCCUCACCAUAAACACGUCCAGAUGUACCUGAACCCAAAUAAACUGCUAUGCUGAGGGGUUGUUCUUAAUAAAGAGGAUGACUCUAAGCUUAGAGAAUGUAGGCAGGAAGCCCACACCAGAGCAUGCUGAGGCCACUGCACUUUGAAACCAUUUCUCGUGGAUGGCCACUUAUCUUUGGGGUCCUUGAGGCUGGGAUUAGAUUUGACAGAGUGGGCAUUUGGGUCUAAAACAGAAGACCAAACCAGAAGUGAGAGGCACUAGGUACCAGGGGGAUCAUUUCUGCCAACACCUCUACAGCACUCUUGGAUCCAGGACAGUCUAGGCUAGGGAACCAAGCCAGGGGACCCCGGCUGUGGGGAAUGUAAUAGACAUUUUUACAAAUGCUUCAGUACUUUCAAGGGUAUAAAGACAUAGCUGGUCUCCUCCACGUGCAUGAUGUAGAUGGGCAGCAGCGGCAUUCAGCUGUGUGCGUCUGCACAGCUCUCCUUUUGCGUGGAGGGUCGAUGUUUCAGAUGGUACUGUGGACUGCUCGUGCCUUUCCCCCAGCUUUUGCGCCUCCUGCACGCACAUUUUGUUUCCAGGACUCUAAGUCUGUUUCUGUUUUGUCAGAGGGUUUAUUUCUCUCCAGUUUGAGAUGACACCACUACACCAAAUCCUUUGGCUGCAGCCUUUACGUAAGUUCCCCGAGUCCAGAGACCUCUAGGUCCGUCCUUGUUGCCGUCAAAGGCAUUGUUUUCGUCUUCAUUUUAUAGCCGAGUCAGUUACUGCGGCGUAUGUAUCCCAGGUGUGCAAGUGGUCCUGGCCAUUGCUUUGAUUGCCUAUCUUGAGUAUUGUCCAUAUUCCUGCAGCGCAUUUUGAUAAUCCCUAGUCUCUAUCUGGGAGCGUGUGCCGUGCCCACGUGGAGCUGUGAUGUCCCUUUCAGGAGCCUGAGUUUUCUUUCCAGAGUGGCCCGUGCCUGUGUGCAGUGCCAGCAUCGGCAUGGAGGGUUCCCUUUGUCCUCGAUCUGCAGCAUUGACUGUUUGCAGACCUUUGCGCUGGACAUUCUGACUCACGGCAGGCAGUGCAGGGUGUAGUUUUGACGGUCCUGUCUCUGAGUUUGAGGGAUCUGAUGCAGCAUUUGUGCCUUGUUUGUUUCUUGUAAAUAGUUGAGGAAAAUUUCCUUUUGAAUAGGGUUUGCUGAAAGUCCUCCUGUUUAUGGGUUUUGAAGUUUUUACUCACUGACCUGUGUCAGGGUGUUUCUAGGGUAAGUGCUCCUCAUUUAAGGCCCCGCAGUCCUUUGAUGAUGCAGUAUCUUGAAGCCAGUUUGUAUGUUGUAAUAGCAGGAAAUGGCCACAAGGUGGCACUACUCUUCUAUACCCAACCCAGGUCAGCGGGGAGAGCAGCCAGCGCUAGGAAAAGGGGGGCUUUGGGUGGUCCGUGUCCGUGGAACAUGACAGCACAAACCCCAAAGCCUUGUGUCUCAUUCCUCCUCCUACUUCACCUUUGACCCGCAGAUACUCAGAAAGCCCUGGGAAACUGCCAUGCUGCAUUCCUGUCCUUUGGAAGUUAGGGGGCCUGAAGCUAAGGGCUGCAGGUGAGACCCCACCACCAGAGCCUGUGCAGGCCGCAUGAAGGUUUGAAGUGCUUUUCUCCCCGAUAGUGCGGUGUCUCGGGUCCUUUUGGCUGAGACUAGCAUUCAGGGUAGGCUGCCUGGGUCUCAGAGGCCCAGUCGGGAACUGAGGAGGCACUGGGACUCCCAGGGAGGAACGUUUAUGCCAAAACCUCUACAGCAGCCUGAGCUCAGGUGGGUCUGGCCUUGGGACCCAGGCUGUGGGGAAUAUCAUACAGUUUGAGACAUACUUCAGGUGUUGAGGUGUCUGAGGGCAUAAUUGAUCUCCACGUGCAUGAUGCAGAUGGGCAGCAGCCUUCUUCAGUGGUACACAUCUGCACAGCUCUCCUUUUAUGGGCUCUUUCCCCGUGGAGGACUCUCUCCCCGUGGAGGCUCUCACACAGUGCUGGGCAGAGUGCAUGUGCUGUGUAGUGAGGGAGGGUGGAUAUUCAUGUGGCAGUGUCAACUGCUCGUUCCCCAGUGUUCCUUUAUAGCCUGUUCCCCAGCUCUUGCCCCUGGCAGACACACAUUUUGCUUCCAGGACUCUGUUUCUGUCUUCUCAGAUGACACCAGUACAGCAAAUCCUACGUCUGCUGCCUUUACCUAAGUUCCCUGAGUCCAGAGAUCUCUAGGUCCAUCCUUCUUGCAGAGAAAGGUAUUGUUUCCUAUUUCACAGCUGUUUCAGUAGUCUAGUGCAUACAUGUCCCAGCUGGAUUUUUUCGGCAUGCCAGUAACCUAUCAUUUGGUUUGAUUCCCAAUCUUGACUAUUGUCCACAUUGCUGCAGCACACAUUUUGAUGCCCAUGGCGUUUCAAUUUCUGUUUCUGUCCGGGAGUGUGUCCCAGGCUCAUAUGGAGCUGUGAUUUCCCUUUCAGAAGCCUGAGUACUGUUUUCCAGAGUGGCCCGUACCUAUUUGCAUUGCCAGCAUUGGCAUGGAGGUUUCCCUUUUCUCCUGGAUCUGCAUAUUUGAUACUGGGCAUUCUGACUCAUGGCAGGUGGUACAGGGUGUAGUUUUGAUGGUUGGUCCAGUCUUGAGUUUUGAGGGAUGUGGUGUAGCAUUUAAUGUGCCUUGUUUGUUUCUUGUAAAUACUUUGAGGAAGAUUUCCUUUUGAAUAGGGCUUUUAGAAAGUCAUCUUAUUUAUGGGGUUUGAAGUUUUACACUCUGACCUGUGCCAGGGUAUUUCUAGGGUAGUGAAAGUGAAAAUCACUGUCGUGUCCAACUCUUUGCAACAUCCGUGGCAUUCUCCCGGCCGGGAUACUGGAGUGAGUAGCCUUUUCCUUUUCCAAGGGAUCUUGCCAACCCAGGGAUUGAACCCAGGUCUCCCACAGUGCAGGCAGAUUCUUUACCUGAGCUGAGGCACAAGGGAGGCCCAUUUCUAGGGUAAGUGUUCCUUAUAUAAGGCCCCGCAGCCCUUUGAUUAUGCAGGGCCUUGAAGCACCAGUUUGUACGUUGUAAUAGCAGGAAAUGGCCACAAGGCGGCAUUACUUUUCCAUGCCCAACCCUUAGGGAAGUACAGGCUUUGGGUGGCGAGCGUCUGUGGAACAUGCCAGCGAAACCCACAAAGGCUCGUGUCCUGUUCCUCCUCCUGCUUCACGCUUGACCUGCAGAUACUCAGACCCCAAACUGCUAUGCUGAAAUUUCGUCCUCUGGAAGGUAGGGGGCUGCAGCUGAGACCCCAGCACCAGAGCCUGUGCAGGCCGCAUGAAGAGCUUGCAGUGCAUUUCUCCCCAAUAGUGCAGUGUCUCUCGGGUCCUUUUGGCCGAGAUUAGCAUUCAGGGUAGGCCGCCUGGGUCUCAGAUUGAGGCCCAUUCAGGAAAUGAGGCUCUGUAAGUCCAAGGGAGGAACGUUUAUGCCGAAACCUCUACAGCAGCCUGAGCUCAGGUGGGUCUGGCCUUGGGCACCAAGGCUGCUCAAGCAUUGGACACCUGCCAGGGGACCCAGGUGUGGGGAAUAUAAUACUGUUUGAGACAUACUUCGACAUUUCAGGUCUAUUAAAGACAACAGAUUUCCUCCACGUGCAUGAUGUAGAUGGGCAGCACCAUUAUUCAGCUGUACACGUCUGUCUGCAUAGCACUGUUUUUGGAUUCUUUUCCCAUGGAGGCUCUUACACAGUGCUGGGUAGACUGCAUGUUCUAUCUAUUGAUGGAGGGUCGAUUUUUAUGUAGCAGUGUGAACUGCUCGUUCCCGAGUGUUCCUUUAUAGCCUUUCCCCCAGCUUUUGCCCCUGCUACACACACAUUUUGCUUCCAGACUCUAGGUUUGUUUCUGUUUUCUCAGAGGGUUCAUUUCCAUGCAGGCUGAGAUGACAUCCCUACCCCAAAUCCUAUGGCUGCCGUCUUAGUUCCCUGAGUCCCGAGAUCUCUAGGUCCAUCCUUAUUACAUCAAAAUUGUUUUCUUAUUUCAUGGCUAUUUCAGUAGUCUAGUGCAUGCACGUCCCAGGUGGAUUUUUUCAGCAUCCUAAUGGUCCUGGUCAUUUGGUUUGAUUCCCAAUCUCGAGGUUGUUCAUAUUCUUGCAGCAAGCAUUUUGACGCCUGGGCCAUUUCAAUUUCCAGUUGCUUUUUACUUUGUGUCUGGCAGCAUGUACUUUGCUCACAUGGAGCUGUGAUGUCCCUUUCAGAAGCCUGAGUGUUGUUUUCCAUAGUGGCCUGGAGGGUUCCCUUUGUCCUCGAUCUGCAGCAUUGACUGUUUGCAGACCUUUGUACUGGACAUUCUGAUGCACGGCAGAUGGCGCAGGGUGUAGUUUUGACGGUCCUGUCUCUGAGUUUGAGGGAUCUGGUGCAGCAUUUAAUGUGCCUUGUUUCUUGUAAAUACUUUGAGGAAAAUUCCCUUUUGACUGGGGCUUGUUGAAAGUCCCCAUUUAUGGUUUUUGAAGUUUUACUCGCUGACCUCCACCAGGGUGUUUUCAGGGUCAGUCAGUUCAGUCGCUCAGUCCUGUCUGACUCUUUGUGACCCCAUGGACUCCAGCA